UAUUCAUGUGCCCAGCCAGGGCUGUGACUGGACUGGUUGUGCUAUUUGCAUGCAUCAGACAUGCUGUUUGUCUGUUUGCUAACAUUCCUCAUUCAAAGACUUGUUAACUAGAAGACGGGCUUAGCUGGAGCCUUGUAGACAGCCUCAUGGCCUCCUAUUGUUUCAGGCCUCGCCAGGCCUGGACCCAGCCGGUGGCAGACGGGCGUGCAGCCCUGAGCUUGGGGCUCAGACUGUGGCUGGAAGAAGGAGUGAGCAUGGAGCUGAGAUUGAGGCCGGGGCUCAGGCUGGAGCCAGGGCUGAGGCACGGCUGUGAAGGGGACAGUCUGAGGGAUAUCACUGGGUCUUGCAAGAACCACCAAAUGGGAGCUUAUGGCUUUCUCCCUCUUCUUGACAGAGAUGUGGAUCAAAGCGGGAAGAGGUGCCGAAUUUCGCAUGCCGACGUUUGCCAUCUUUACUCUGAAAUAUUGGCAGUGAGUGGGGUUUUGACUUCAGCCACAGGCACAAACAAUUUGGUCAACAAGUGAAAUCACGGACAGACAGACUGGCGAUCGCAGCAGCAAAGUAACAGAUUUUCCCUCUUGGGGACUUUCAGAUGGAGGCUACCUGACGUGCUGCUGAAACCGUGAUGGAGGGAGGGGGCGACAGGCCAGUGUUCCCCGCUUCGCUGCGUGUUACAGAGCAGGUGAGAAACAUUAACAGAGGCAGCAGCAGCUGCGGCCCUCUGCUCCGCACAUGUGGGCCAGGAUAUGAGCUAGCUUGCGCUCGCCCACUCUCAACACUGGUCACUAAUGUUAACACUCUCCUCUCUGAAGCACAGAAAACAGUACUAAGAAAAAAAGUAGAAACAUGGUGGAGGCAGCACAGACUGUUACAGAACCAGUUUUCUUUUUUUACAGUUUAUUGUAUGUUGUGAACAGUAAUGCUUAGCUUUAGAGAAGCAUUACUAGACCUCUUGUGAGGUCACAACCCUCAACUAUGGUCUGGGUUUUUUAAACAUGACAUUUGAUGAAUGGAAUAUUGCAUUUUAAUAGUGCUGAGGUUCACCUACUUUUGAUAAAAUCCUCAUUAUGGAUGUCACAGUACCCUUUAAGUUAUAUACUAGUUGCAUUUGAAUAUGGAAAUAUCUUGGCUAUGCAAUUUGUUUGGCACAUAUGCACCUUGUUGGAUCAUUUGAAUUCCCCUUCAGUUUGAGCCAUGAACCGGAUGACCCAAUCGUCACAUUGUGUUCUGAACACACAGACCCCAGACACACGGGUGAGGUGUCCCAGAGGAGAGUGGCAUGUGUAUUUGUGUUUCUGUGAAUCAUAACUGCUGUUUUGUAUUCAGUGAGGUGUGUCAAAGCGGAUUACCUGCAUGAAUGGGGACCUGAAAGGACUUUGUUUUUCAAGACUGUCCUUUGGGGUGAGGUAGUAGGUUGUAUAGUUUUAGGGUCAUACCCUUCCUGUCAGAUAACUAUACAACUUACUGUCUUUCCUGAAGUGGCUGUAAUGUCUUCAGAUGCCUUUGUUGGAGCUUUCGGAUCUGGAUCAACACUGGAAUGUGCAUGUUUACGCACCGACAGCUAAGAACAUAAGUCAGGCAUUUGACAGUGGUAGGUUACUGAGGAUUGUAGUUACCUUAGGUAGAUUCCCAUGUUAUAAUUUUCAUGAUUGUACUUUGAAAGUUUGAAAGUUUAUGGUCAAUAAAAAAAAAAUUAUCAUAAGUGUUGUUAUGUCAUGCUGGUUCUGUUUGUGCCAAACAACAACAAUCAACCAUUCAUAUCUCAUUAAAAACUGAAUUUAUAAACCUGUUCUCAUCUGUCACCCCUUUUCCUUCACUCUUGUUUUUAACUUUUUUGCAGUUUUUUCUCCUGUUUGUGCAUCAUAGCUUUUUAGGAUUUUGGUCACAACUAUGUGGCUCUUUUCCCUAAACUAACUGAUCCUGAUUGCUUCCGUUGUUUUCUUAGUGUUUUAGAAAUUAAAACUCAACUCAAUGAGUCAGUCAAUGUAAGAUGCUUUUGAUAUGAAGUGUUUUUACUGUUAAAAUAUAUGAGGACAUAUUUGUUUACUAUAGUAAAAUGUAGUGUUUAUAUGUCACUCUACCAAAAUGCUAUCAAAUACAAGCUACACCAAAGCUUGCCAACCUGUAGGAUCUUUCUGAUGUUCGUACGGGGUGAGGUAGUAGGUUGUGUGGUUUCAGGGUAGUGAUUUUGCCCAAUCAGGAGAUAACUAUACAACCUACUGCCUUCCCUGAAGGGCAGCAAUACUUCACCAUACUGACAAGAAGGGAGGGGGGUUCAUGUGCAUAGCAUCAAAAAAUUUCCAGGAUCAGUAAAGCGAACCAGGUCAACUGUUCAGGCCAUGAGUCAUCAAGUCAUCUCUUAUCUGGACCACAGCUCCAGCCAGUCAUUGAAGCAGCAGACAGGACCAGCAGGUAAAGUCUUUUUGUCGUGGAAUGUGUGUUUGAUUUAGAUUUUCUGCUUCAAACAAUAAUAACAAUAAAAAAUAGAUAAUGAAUCAGUUUGUCUUUGCUGUUUUGUUCUUAUAUCCAAAAAGUUUCAAUUUAAAUGUUUCAAACUUUGAGA